rnacentral:rRNA from 1 species
GAUGAACGCUAGCGGCAGGCUUAAUACAUGCAAGUCGUGGGGCAGCAGGGUUGUAGCAAUACAAUCGCUGGCGACCGGCAAACGGGUGCGUAACACGUACGCAACCUUCCCGUUACUGUGGCAUAGCCCAGGGAAACUUGGAUUAAUACCACAUAUUAUAUUGAUGAGGCAUCUCAUUGAUAUCAAAGCUUCGGCGGUAACGGAUGGGCGUGCGGUUGAUUAGGUAGUUGGCGGGGUAACGGCCCACCAAGCCUACGAUCAAUAGCUGAUGUGAGAGCAUGAGCAGCCACACGGGCACUGGAACGCGGGCCCGACUCCUACGGGAGGCAGCAGUAAGGAAUAUUGGGCAAUGGACGAAAGUCUGACCCAGCCAUGCCGCGUGAAGGAUUAAGGUCCUCUGGAUUGUAAACUUCUUUUCUCUGGGGCGAAAACCAGCUAUUCUUAGCUAUUUGACAGUACCAGAGGAAUAAGCACCGGCUAACUCCGUGCCAGCCGCCGCGGUAAAAC